GUCAAACUUCUUUUAAAUUUUGAUAAUCAAUAUCUAACAAUUUAUAUAGGUUGACAACAAACGAUUGACAUCAAUAGAUUUAUUAUGAAACCAUUUUUUUAUAAUAUACGAUUCUUUUCAUUAAGAUGAUAUAUUUUCAUAAAUAUUGUGAAUCAAAGUUAGAGAAGUUUGACUU
rnacentral:pre_miRNA from 1 species